GACGAACGCUGGCGGCGCGCUUAACACAUGCAAGUCGAGCGAAGCGGCGGACGGGUGAGUAACACGUGAGUAACCUGCCUUAGACAUUGGGAUAGCCUCGGGAAACCGGGAUUAAUACCAAAUGGUCGAAGAUGGACUCGCGUCCCAUUAGCGAGUUGGUGAGGUAACGGCCCAACAAGGCGCCGAUGGGUAGCCGGGCGUGGAGGGGUAACGGCCACAUUGUAACUGAGCAACGGUCCAAACUCUACGGGAGGCAGCAGUGGUGAAUAUUGCACAAUGGAGGGAACUCUGAUGCAGCGACGCCGCGUGAACGAAGAAGGCUUUCGAGUCGUAAAGUUCUUUUAUAUGGGAAGCGGUACCAUAAGAAUAAGCCCCGGCUAACUACGUGCCAGCAGCCGCGGUAAUAC
rnacentral:rRNA from 1 species